CCAUCUCUUCCUCAGGGAAGUCUUCCCUGGGCCCAAUUUAGAUCAAGUUCUGUUAUGUUAUGAUCGACCAUCACCCUUGUGAAGUUAUGUAUAUGCAGUGGACCAAUACUAAUUGUACUUUUUAUCAGAUUAAUCUAAACAGCAUUACAUAUAUAUGUUCUCUAUUGUCUAAAAUUACAAUGCAGUAGGAGUUGGAAAAAAGUAUAACUGAAGAACUAGAAAACGCUGCUGCUGAAUUUGAAUCUGGAUCCUGCAGAGACUUUCCUCCAGGAUCUACUGAUGUGUCAUGUCUAAAUCAAGAUCUAGUUUUGAAAAUGUCACAAGAAUACGUCCAGCUUUUGAAGAAAAGUUAUAUGACCUGAAAAAUAAACAGCAUAAAUUUAUUUACUAGGCAGCUUCCAUAACAUUUAAAUUAUUUCCCAUUAAA